UACGGAGGGUGCAAGCGUUAUCCGGAUUCACUGGGUUUAAAGGGUGCGUAGGCGGGCAGGUAAGUCCGUGGUGAAAUCUCUGAGCUUAACUCAGAAACUGCCAUGGAUACUAUUUGUCUUGAAUAUUGUGGAGGUAAGCGGAAUAUGUCAUGUAGCGGUGAAAUGCUUAGAUAUGACAUAGAACACCAAUUGCGAAGGCAGCUUACUACACAGUUAUUGACGCUGAGGCACGAAAGCGUGGGGAUCGAACAGG
rnacentral:rRNA from 1 species